AAUAAUUUAAUGAUGAUAAAAUACAGUGCAUAGUUCAACUGAUUAAUUUUAAAGUGAAGAAAUCAAACAUCGAAUUUAGUCUUUCGCUCCUAUCUGAAUUAUU
rnacentral:snoRNA from 1 species